rnacentral:rRNA from 1 species
UACAGAGGGUGCAAGCGUUGUUCGGAAUUACUGGGCGUAAAGCGCGUGUAGGCGGCUUUUUAAGUCGGACGUGAAAUCCCUGGGCUUAACCCAGGAACUGCGUCCGAUACUAUCAAGCUAGAGUGUCGGAGGGGGGUGGCGGAAUUCCCGGUGUAGGGGUGAAAUUCGUAGAUAUCGGGAGGAACACCGGUGGCGAAGGCGGCCGCCUGAGGACCACGAGACUGAGAGCGCGAAAGCGUGGGGGAGCAAACAGG